CUCGGAGUUUGAUCCUGGCUCAGAUUGAACGCUGGCGGCAUGCUUUACACAUGCAAGUCGAACGGUAACAGGUCAAGCUGACGAGUUGGCGAACGGGUGAGUAAUACAGUCGGAACGUGCCCGAUCGUGGGGGAUAACGCAGCGAAAGCUGCGCUAAUACCGCAUACGAUCUGAGGAUGAAAGCGGGGGACCGUAAGGCCUCGCGCGAUCGGAGCGGCCGAUGUCAGAUUAGGUAGUUGGUGGGUAAAGGCUCACCAAGCCAACGAUCUGUAGCUGGUCUGAGAGGACGACCAGCCACACUGGAACUGAGACACGGUCCAGACUCCUACGGGAGCAGCAGUGGGGAAUUUUGGACAAUGGACGCAAGUCUGAUCCCAGCCCAUG
rnacentral:rRNA from 1 species